AAAAACAAAAAAUUAAACAUUAAACUUAGUAAAUGUAAACUAUAAAUACAAAGAAUAAACAUACAAAUAAUCUAUUUAAGAAAAAUUAUCACAUUCCAAUGAGUACAUCUCCAAAAUCGCCGUUUAGAGUUUUCAUCAGUGUUAGAAAUGAAUAUACACAUUGCUUUCCUAUACCUACAUUCAAACAAUUUAAAACGAGUUGAGUUUGUUGCAGACGACGAUGAUGCCAUAGUUGAAUGAUGCAGAAGUAGGUGAAGAUUCGAACGAGCAUCUGAUCCCCACAACCCUCACACACAACAUAAACAACAAAUAAAUAAACCCAUUCACAAAAGAAGAAAAAGACAACAAAAUGAAAUAAUAUAUCACACAUAAACAUAUGAAACAAACAAAUAAACCUUAAAAGAAGAAACAAAAACCCCACCAUUCCCUACAAACAGAAAAGGAAGGACAAAAAUGGUAUCAAAAUCAUACCUUCAGCCUCUCCUUCGCAAUUUUAUUUCCUUCUGUCGUGUUUCGAAGAUGGUGAUUCGAUGUUGGUUAUCUGGUAAAGGUGAUGCGAUGAUAG
rnacentral:lncRNA from 1 species